CAAUAGCGUAUAUUAAUGUUGUUGCAGUUAAAAAGCUCGUAGUUGGAUUCCUGGCACGGGGUAACCGGUCCGCCUUGCAAAAGGUGCGCACUGUGUGGCCUCGGCCAUCCUUGAGAAGAGCUGUUCUGGCAUUCAGUUGUCGGGGCAGGGAUUCUCGACUUUUACUGUGAAAAAUCAGAGUGUUCAACGCAGGCUUACGCCUUGAAUACAUUAGCAUGGAAUAAUGAGAUAGGACUUUGGUGGUCUAUUUUGUUGGUUUGCACGCCGAAGUAAUGAUUAAAAGGGACGGUUGGGGUUCUUCGUAUUCAAUUGUCAGAGGUGAAAUUCUUGGAUUUAUGGAAGACGAACUGCUGCGAAAGCGUCGAACAAGGACGUUCUCAUUAAUCAAGAACGAAAGUUAGGGGAUCGAAGACGAUUAGAUACCAU
rnacentral:rRNA from 1 species